AGUGAACGCUGGCGGUAGGCCUAACACAUGCAAGUCGAACGGCAGCACAGUAAGAGCUUGCUCUUACGGGUGGCGAGUGGCGGACGGGUGAGGAAUACAUCGGAAUCUACUUUUUCGUGGGGGAUAACGUAGGGAAACUUACGCUAAUACCGCAUACGACCUACGGGUGAAAGCAGGGGAUCUUCGGACCUUGCGCGAUUGAAUGAGCCGAUGUCGGAUUAGCUAGUUGGCGGGGUAAAGGCCCACCAAGGCGACGAUCCGUAGCUGGUCUGAGAGGAUGAUCAGCCACACUGGAACUGAGACACGGUCCAGAGUCCUACGGGAGGAAGCAGUGGGGAAUAUUGGACAAUGGGCGCAAGCCUGAUCCAGCCAUACCGCGUGGGUGAAGAAGGCCUUCGGGUUGUAAAGCCCUUUUGUUGGGAAAGAAAAGCAGCAGGUUAAUACCCCGCUGUUCUGACGGUACCCAAAGAAUAAGCACCGGCUAACUUCGUG
rnacentral:rRNA from 1 species